rnacentral:lncRNA from 1 species
UUUCUUACAAGUGCUAUGGUGACAGAAAGCAGCCUCCUCAGUCAGCACGGCCGGCAUUUAUCACACAUGUGGCAUGCGCGCGGCACCGUGCUAACUGGAUGUCCUGAGGAAUUUAAGCAGGUACGAUAAAUGCAGUGUAUACUGUGGGAGCACUUAGGGGAAGGGACUGAUUUGGUCAGAGAUGUUAGGAAAGAGGAAGCACCUGGUGACAGCUUCCCAGAAAACACUGCAUUGAUUGUUA